rnacentral:lncRNA from 13 species
AUGAAUCACACACACCUGAGGAGGCAAACAGGAAGAGCAGUAGAAGUUGUUUGGCAGCAACAGCAGCAGGAGCAGGUAGGAGACACAACACACACAGUUUCAGAGAGCCAACCAAUCCAGGGGGGCCUUCACCUCUCCACCCUAUCCCAGACCAGAUCAGACCAGUCCAGAUCAGAACCAGACCCAGACCAGAACGAAACCAGUUCAAACCAGACCAGACCAGUCCCGAUCAAGUUGUUUAAGGCGUAGCGGACUGAGAGAUGAGGGGUAGGGCUCUCUGACCCCUGACACUAACAAGGUGGUGUAACCUCCAACCCCUGUGGCUCCUCCGAUGUUCUCCAGAAAGGACAGCCUUCCCUCCCCCAGCUUGGAAGACUCCUUCUUCCCCCUCUCCUCCACCUCCUCCCAUUCUGUCUCUCUCGCUUAUCCCUCCUCCAGUUCCUCCUCCUGCUGNNNNNNNNNNGUGGUGUAGUGGUAGUGUUGUAGUAUUGUAGUGUAGUGGUAGUGUUGUAGUAUAGUGGCAGUGUAGUAGUGUAGUGGUAGUGUUGUAGUAUAGUGUCAGUAUAAUAGCAUAGUGGCAGUAUUUUAGUAUAGUGUCAGUAUAGUAGUAUAGUGUUAGUGUUGUAGUAUAGUGUCAGCAUAGUAGUAUAGUGUCAGCAUAGUAGUAUAGUGUUGGUAUAAUAGUAUAGUGGUAGUGUUGUAGUAUAGUGGUAGUGUUGUAGUAUAGUCUCCGCAUAGUAGCAUAGUGGUAGUGUUGUAGUUUAUUGGCAGUGUUGUAGUAUAGUGGUGGUAUUGUGACAUCGUGGCAGUGUUGUAGUAUAGUGGUAGCAUUGUGGUAUAGUGGUAGUAUCACGGUAGUAUGGCGGUAGUAUUUUAGGACAGUGGUAGUAUUGUGGUAGAAUAGUGUUAGUAUUGUGGUUUAUUAGCGGUAGUGUUGUAGUAUAGUGGUGGCAAUGUAGUAGAAUAGUGGCAGUACCGUAGUAUAGUGGUAGCAAGGAGUAGUAUUGUGAUCAUAUUGUAGUAUACUGUUAGUAUUGUAGCAGUAUAGUGUAGAUAUUGUAGUAUAGUGGUAGUUUCGUGGUAGUAUAGCAGCAGUAUUGUGGUAAUAUUGUAGUAUAGUGGUAGUAUAGGGGUAGUAUUGUAUUAAGUAAACGUAAUAACGUCUUACAAUUCAUAUCAUCACCAUUCAUCCAAUCAGCUUUCACAUCAUCACCAU